rnacentral:misc_RNA from 1 species
AACGCACAUUGCGCCCUUUGGUAUUCCGAAGGGCAUGCCUGUUCGAGCGUCAUUAUCACCCCUCAAGCCCCGUGCUUGGUGUUGGACGGCCUGGUCGAGGCAACUCGACCCCUCCUAAAGACAAUGACGGCGGCCUGUGGCUCCCCCGGUACACUGAGCUUCUUAACUGAGCACGUAUCGGACAAGGGCGCCCGGGACCCGGUCCUCUCCUUUAACUAGGAAACUUUUUAUAAGGUUGACCUCGGAUCAGGUAGGAAUACGCGCUGAACUUAA